rnacentral:lncRNA from 1 species
GCAUGACUUUCUGCAAAAGGGAAAAGUGAGAUCAAUAAUCAUACAAUAUAUCCAGUAAUUUAUCUGAAUUGAAAAUUUAAUUCACAAAAAUCUAAAAGUGAAUUUGUUGUUGUCUGCUGAUUUUAUAAAGCAGCUCACUUUGGAGGAGCUUUUUCAGUCCAACAUAUGGACUCCAAGUGGAUCCUAGUUCCUAACUGAACUAUCUGAAGGUGCACAAACAAGAAAAGAAGCAUUCUUAUUGAAUACUUUUAUUGUUAUUGUCUUUCCAAAGUUGAAGGCCUGUGAAUCAAAACAGCAGUGAGAUCACACUGAUUGCACAUAUAUGUUUCUUUUCAAGAGUGCUAGACAAUGGCCUUUACCGUGUCUCCCUCUGAAUGAGUUGCUGAGUUCUGCUGUUUUGGGCUGCCUCAAGC